rnacentral:rRNA from 1 species
AAUCCAUAGGUUAAUGAGGCGAACCGGGGGAACUGAAACAUCUAAGUACCCCGAGGAAAAGAAAUCAACCGAGAUUCCCCCAGUAGCGGCGAGCGAACGGGGAGGAGCCCAGAGCCUGAAUCAGCAUGUGUGUUAGUGGAAGCGUCUGGAAAGGCGCGCGAUACAGGGUGACAGCCCCGUACACAAAAGCGCAUGUGCUGUGAGCUCGAUGAGUAGGGCGGGACACGUGGUAUCCUGUCUGAAUAUGGGGGGACCAUCCUCCAAGGCUAAAUACUCCUGACUGACCGAUAGUGAACCAGUACCGUGAGGGAAAGGCGAAAAGAACCCCGGCGAGGGGAGUGAAAAAGAACCUGAAACCGUGUACGUACAAGCAGUGGGAGCACCCUUUGGGUGUGACUGCGUACCUUUUGUAUAAUGGGUCAGCGACUUAUAUUCUGUAGCAAGGUUAACCGAAUAGGGGAGCCGGAGGGAAACCGAGUCUUAAUUGGGCGUUAAGUUGCA